GCCUAGUUAGCUUAGUUGGUAGCGCGUCUGCCUUGUAAGCGCUAGGCCGCGGGUUUUAUUCCCGCCCGGGGUG
rnacentral:tRNA from 1 species